UCCUUUUUAUACGACCGCAAAAAUUGAAAAUUUUUUGGUCGUAUAUUGGUAUGACGUUGGCGUCGUCGUCGUCGUCGUCGUCGUCGUCGUCGUCGUCUGGCGUCGUCCGGCGUCGUCCGAAGACACAUUGGUUUUCGCACUCUAACUUUAGUUUAAGUGAAUGGAUCUCCAUGAAAUUUUACCAUAAGGUUCAAUACCACGAAAGGAAGGUUGGGAUUGAUUUUGGGAGUUAUGGUACCAACAGUUAAGGAAUUAGGGGCCAAAAAGGGGCCAAAAAUAAGCAUUUUUGUAACUUCCAGACAAUAACUUGUGUGUAAGUGUAUGGAUCUCUCUGACAUUGUACCACAAGGUUUCAUAUCACAAAGGGAAGGCUGUAAUUGAUUUUGGGGGUAAUUGCCUCAAAAUUUUAGGAAUUAGGGGCCAAAAAAGGGGCAAAAAACAAGCAUUUUUCUAGUUUCAUGACAAUAACUUGUGUGUAAGUGUUUGGAUAUUUCUGAAAUUGUACUACAAGGUUCCAUAUCACAAAGGGAAAGCUGGAAUUGAGUUUGGGGGUAAUUGCCUGAAACAUUUAGGAAUUGGGGGCCAAAAAGGGGCCAAAAAUAAGCAUUUUUCUAGUUUCCAGACAAUAACUUGUGUUCAAGUGUAUGGAUCUCUCUGAAAUUGUACUGCAAGGUACCAUACCACAAAGGGAAGGCUGGGAUUGAGUUUGGGGGUGAUGAAUCAUAAGGGGGUUCAAAAAAUUUGGGGGGGGGGAUUUUUUUCUUUCUUUUUUUUUCUUUUUUUCCUUUUUUUUUUCUUUUAAAAUUUUCAAUUUUAAGUUGGUUAUUUCUGAUUAAUAUUUAAAAGCAAAUAAUAAUGAUAUGGUAGGAGAUACACACCAAACAGGAUGUGUAAAUUAUUAUAUAAUAAGUAUUGUGCAAUAGCAAGAAAUUUUCAAUUGCACAGUAUUGCACAAUUGCAAGAAAUCUUCAAUUGCACAGUAUUGCGCAAUAGCAAGAAAUCUUCAAUUGCACAGUAUUGCGCAAUAGCAAGAAAUAUCCAAUAGCACAAUAUUGCGCAAUAGCAAGAAAUUGUCAAUUGUACAGUAUUGCACAAUAGCAAGAAAUAUUCAAUUGCACAGUAUUGUGCAAAAGAAGAUACUUCGUAUAAAUUGCUUAUUUCUUGAUCAAUUUCAAUGGGGUUUUAUUCUUGAAUUCUUGGGGUUCUUUAAUAUGCUGAAUCUAACCGUGUAUUAAGUUUUUGGAUUUUGGGCCCCGUUUUUAAAUUGGUCCACAUUGAGGUCCAAAGGGUCCAAAAUUUAACUUUGUUUGAUUUCAUCAAAAAUUGAAUUAUUGGGGUUCUUUGAUAUGCCGAAUCUAACCGUGUAUUUAGAUUCUUAAUUUUUGGUUCCGUUUUCAAAUUGGUCUACAUUAAGGUCAAAAGGGUCCAAAAUUAAACUUAGUUUGAUUUUAACAAAAAUUUAAUUUUUAGGGUUCUUUGAUAUGCUGAAUCUAAACAUGUAUUUAGAUUUUUGAUUAUGGGCCCAGUUUUCAAGUUGGUCCAAAUCAGGGUCCAAAAUUAAACUUUGUUUGAUUUCAACAAAAAUUGAAUAUAUGGGGUUCUUUGAUAUGCUGAAUCUAACCAUGUAUUUAGAUUUUUGAUUUUUGGGCCCCGUUAUCAACUUUGUCCACAUUGAGGUCAAAAGGGUCCAAAAUUAAACUUUGUUUGAUUUCAUCAAAAAUUGAAUUCUUGGGGUUCUUUGAUAUGCUGAAUCUAACCAUGUAUUUAGAUUUUUUAUUUGUGGACCCGCUAUCAAAUUGGUUCAUAUUGAGGUUAAAAGGGUCCAAAAUUAAACUUUGUUUGAUUUCAUCAAAAAUUUAAUUAUUGGGGUUCUUUGAUAUGCCAAAUCUAACUGUGUAUUUAGAUUUUUAAUUUUGGGUCCCGUUUUUUAAAUUGGUCUACAUUAAGGUCCAAAGGGUCCAAAAUUAAACUUAGUUUGAUUUUAACAAAAAAUGAAUUUUUGGGGUUCUUUGAUAUGCUGUAUCUAAACAUGUGUUUAGAUUUUUGAUUAUGGGACCAGUUUUCAAGUUGGUCCAAGUUGGGGUCCAAAAUUAAACUUUGUUUGAUUUCAACAAAAAUUGAAUAUAUGGGGUUCUUUGAUAUGCUGAAUCUAAACAUGUAUUUAGAUUUUAGAUUUUUGGCCCAGUUUUCAAGUUGGUCCAAAUUGGGGUCCAAAAUUAAACUUUGUUUGAUUUCAACAAAAAUUGAAUAUAUGGGGUUCUUUGAUAUGCUGAAUCUUACCAUUUAUUUAGAUUUUUUAUUUUGUAGGCCCGCUAUCAAAUUGGUUCAUAUUGUGGUCAAAAGGGUCCAAAAUUAAACUUUGUUUGAUUUCAUCAAAAAUUGAAUUAUUGGGGUUCUUUGAUAUGCCAAAUGUAACCGUGUUUUUAGAUUUUUAAUUUUGGGUCCCGUUUUUUAAAUUGGUCUACAUUAAGGUCCAAAGGGUCCAAAAUUAAACUUAGUUUGAUUUUAACAAAAAUUGAAUUCUUGGGGUACUUUGAUAUGCUGAAUCUAAACAUGUGUUUAGAUUUUUGAUUAUGGGACCAGUUUUCAAGUUUGUCCAACUUGGGGUCCAAAAUUAAACUUUGUUUGAUUUCAACAAAAAUUGAAUAUAUGGGGUUCUUUGAUAUGCUGAAUCUAACCAUGUAUUUUGAUUUUGGACAUUGGACCAUAAUAGGUAAAUUAAAAAAAUUGAAGUUCUUAGACCACAUUCUUUCUGUGUCAGAAACCUAUGCUGUGUCAAAUAUUUAAUCACAAUCCAAAUUCAGAGCUGUAUCAAGCUUGAAUGUUGUGUCCAUACUUGCCCCAACUGUUCAGGGUUCGACCUCUGCGGUCGUAUCAAGCUGCGCCCAGCGAAGCAUUUUAUUUUUUUCUUUUAAAAUUUUCCAUUUUAAGUUGGUUAUUUCUGAUUUAUAUUUAAAAGCAAAUAAUAAUGAUAUGGUAGGAAAUACACACCAAACAGGAUGUGUGAAUUAUUAUACAAUAAGUAUUGUGCAAUAGCAAGAAAUUUUCAAUUGCACAGUAUUGCACAAUAGCAAGAAAUCUUCAAUUGCACAGUAUUGCGCAAUAGCAAGAAAUCUUCAAUUGCACAGAAUUGCGCAAUAGCAAGAAAUAUCCAAUAGCACAAUAUUGCGCAAUAGCAAGAAAUUGUCAAUUGUACAGUAUUGCGCAAUAGCAAGAAAUAUUCAAUUGCACAGUAUUGUGCAAAAGAAUAUACUUUGUAUAAAUUGCUUAUUUCUUGAUCAAUUUCAAUGGGGUUUUAUUCUUGAAUUCUUGGGGUUCUUUAAUAUGCUGAAUCUAACCGUGUAUUAAGUUUUUGGAUUUUGGGCCCCGUUUUUAAAUUGGUCCACAUUGAGGUCCAAAGGGUCCAAAAUUAAACUUUGUUUGAUUUCAUCAAAAAUUGAAUUAUUGGGGUUCUUUGAUAUGCCGAAUCUAACCGUGUAUUUAGAUUCUUAAUUUUUGGUUCCGUUUUCAAAUUGGUCUACAUUAAGGUCCAAAGGGUCCUAAAUUAAACUUAGUUUGAUUUUAACAAAAAUUGAAUUCUUAGGGUUCUUUGAUAUGCUGAAUCUAAAUAUGUAUUUAGAUUUUUGAUCAUGGGCCCAGUUUUCAAGUUGGUCCAAAUCGGGGUCCAAAAUUAAACUUUAUUUGAUUUCAACAAAAAUUGAAUAUAUGGGGUUCUUUGAUAUGCUGAAUCUAACCAUGUAUUUAGAUUUUUGAUUAUGGGCCCAGUUUUCAAGUUGGUCCAAAUCGGGGUC